rnacentral:rRNA from 1 species
CCUACGGGUGGCAGCAGUAGGGAAUAUUGCACAAUGGGCGAAAGCCUGAUGCAGCAACGCCGCGUGCGCGAUGAAGGCCUUCGGGUUGUAAAGCGCUUUUCGGGGAGAAGAGGAAGGACGGUAUCCCCGGAAUAAGGCUCGGCUAACUACGUGCCAGCAGCCGCGGUAAAACGUAGGAGCCAAGCGUUAUCCGAAUUCACUGGGCGUAAAGCGCGUGCAGGCGGCCUGGUAAGUUGGAUGUGAAAUCUCCCGGCUCAACUGGGAGAGGCCGUUCAAGACUGUCAGGCUCGAGGGCGACAGAGGGAGGUGGAAUUCCGGGUGUAGUGGUGAAAUGCGUAGAUAUCCGGAGGAACACCAGAGGCGAAGGCGACCUCCUGGGUCGUACCUGACGCUGAGAUGCGAAAGCUAGGGGAGCGAACGGGAUUAGAUACCCUUGUAGUC